AUACUUACUUGGUGCGGAAGUUAACAGGGGUCACUAGGCCUGUGCUUCCAGCGGAAGACCCUUGCAUUGCACUCAGUUUGGGUUGACCCUGCGAGUACCUCUAAUUGGGGUUUACUCGGGCACAUAAUUUUUGAUAGUGGGGGACUGCGUACGCGCUAUCCCCUA
rnacentral:snRNA from 1 species